rnacentral:rRNA from 1 species
CCUACGGGUGGCAGCAGUGGGGGAUAUUGCACAAUGGGGGAAACCCUGAUGCAGCGACGCCGCGUGGGUGAAGAAGGGCCUCGGCGCGUAAAGCCCUGUCAGCAGGGAAGAAAAUGACGGUACCUGAAGAAGAAGCCCCGGCUAACUCCGUGCCAGCAUCCGCGGUAAUACGGAGGGGGCAAGCGUUAUUCGGAUUUACUGGGUGUAAAGGGGGCGCAGACGGCGAUGAAAGCCAGGAGUGAAGGCCCGGGGCCCAACCCCGGGACUGCUCUUGGAACUGCGUGGCUAGAGUGCAGGAGGGGCAGGCGGAAUUCCUGGUGUAGCGGUGAAAUGCGUAGAUAUCAGGAGGAACACCGGUGGCGAAGGCGGCCUGCUGGACUGCAACUGACGUUGAGGCCCGAAAGCGUGGGGAGCAAACAGGAUUAGAUACCCCAGUAGUC